CCGGAAGUGCUUGCCGAAACUUAUGGCCAGAUCGACGGCUUUCCGAAGCUGCGCAUUCUGGACUCGACGGACCCUGCACAGGUUCGCCGAACCGAAGCCGCGAUCAAUCUCGACAAGACGCUGUUCAUCGUGUCGAGCAAAUCCGGCGGCACCACAGAGCCCAACGCGCUCAUGGAGUAUUUCUUCGUUCGCGCCGGUGCAAAGGCCGCAGAGCGUUUUGUNNUCCCGGUUCAUCGCUUGAAAAGGUGGCGACCGCGCGCGGCUUUGCGCAGAUCUUCCACGGCGAGCC
rnacentral:misc_RNA from 1 species